rnacentral:other from 1 species
GCGUCGCUGCGCGGUUCGUGAGGAGUGUCACAUCCCCGGGCCUUACGUUUUCCUUUGGGAGCUGUACCUGUCCUCGCUCGUGGGCUUGGGCACACGGCGCCCACCUACAUAGUAGGUUUCCGGGAUUACAUACACUCUGACGGCCGAGGCGGCACGCA